rnacentral:rRNA from 1 species
CAUUGUUGGAGAGUUUGAUCCUGGCUCAGGACGAACGCUGGCGGCGUGCUUAACACAUGCAAGUCGAACGCUGAAGCACUUUCGGGUGUGGAUGAGUGGCGAACGGGUGAGUAACACGUGGGCAAUCUGCCCUG